rnacentral:rRNA from 1 species
CGAGACGAAGUGACUCGGGAGGGAGUCCGAGGCGAGACUGACGUGCUCUCGAUCGAUUGACUUGCAUUUUUGUUAUGAAGACUACUCUGCCAUCUAAUUGUGGUUCCUUCCGAAGCAUAAUUUUUUGUGGUGCAUUUACUUGAUUGGUGCUUGGGGAUGUUUGAGGCAGAUUUGUUUCCGUCGUUUUGAGGCCAGCUUGCUGGUACCCAAACGGUGUUAGCAUUUUUUGUCUUGGGCAUUUGAGUAUGGCUCACGUGUAUUUAUUGGACAGAUCUGAGUGUAAGUUACGGUCGCAUGCGACACGUGCUUUUCAAUUAGUUCGGUCCAGUUAAUGCUCUCGUACUCGUUCCCCAUGUAAAAGCCGGUCAUCUAUCCGACCCGUCUUGAAACACGGACCAAGGAGUUUAUCGUGUGCGCAAGUUUUUGGGUGUUAAAAACUUAAAAGCGAAAUGAAAGUAAAUGACUCUUUAGAGUCUGAUGUGCGAUCUUGUAAAAAAGUGUAGCAUGGCCCCAUUCUAACUGUUUACAGUAGGGUGGCGGAAGAGCGUACGCGGUGAGACCCGAAAGAUGGUGAACUAUUCCUGAGCAGGACGAAGCCAGAGGAAACUCUGGUGGAAGUCCGAAGCGGUUCUGACGUGCAAAUCGAUCGUCUGACUUGGGUAUAGGGGCGAAAGACUAAUCGAACCAUCUAGUAGCUGG